rnacentral:tRNA from 1 species
GGGGCUGUAGCUCAGUUUGGGAGAGCGCUUGAAUGGCAUUCAAGAGGUCAGGGGUUCGAUCCCCCUCAGCUCCA